GACGCUGUCCAUCUCCAAGAGAGAGGGAUUCACUCUGAGGCCUUCAUGUCCCCACCUCUCUAGGUCCCCAGCCCUGGCCACCUCCUUUCUCCAGAGCCCCCCCAUGGCCUGCCCAAAAGUCUAGGGCGAGUCAGGAGGGGACCGCGCUCCUGGCUGGGGCAGGUGUGGAAGGCCGGGGCUCACAUGGAUCUGUCCAUCCUGAUUCUCCUUCUGCUGUUACUGCUGCUGUUACUAGGUCGAUUAAGGCGCGAAUACCGGCUAAGCACCACAGCUCACCCAAAAGGGAGAAAAAGAUACUCAGGAGAUCCAGCCAGCGGCCCACGGUCAUCAACAGAAGGAAGAGGCCACCCAUGCGCACCAGCACCGUCUGGACCUGGCCCUGUAGGCUGAAGCGAUGUUGCCACUGCUCCUCUGUGGGACGCGGUUGUCACUGUCUCAGCCGGCACCUUCUGGAGAUCAGCUGGGGCCAGCCUGUUUCACUUCUCAGCUGCCUUCCCCGGGGAUCUUGUCAGCUUCCCUGACUGCCUUCCCACAGCCCUGCUUCUGUCUCUGGGCACCUACAGGACUUCUUACCCACCCUUAAGUUUCCCCCUGGUUGAGGACAGAGCCCUGCCAGUCGAUGGCAGGAAUCUAAGGUUCUCCCCCUUUCUGCCUGUCAGUUUGAAUCAUCCGCAGCUCAGUUGGCUUCUGCCAGUCUCUCUCUUGUUCCAUCCUGGUCCCAGCCACCUUCCCCUCUUGCCGAAGCUCACUCAUCAAGGCGCCUGAGUUUUGUUCCCGACCAAGCUCUACUGACCAUCUAAAGCGACCUAAACACACCAAUAAGAUGACACCAUCCCUCUGCUUUUAGAGAACUCUAAUGGAAGUCUUGUUUUCCACAGUC
rnacentral:lncRNA from 1 species